GUGCUUGCUUUGGAAGCACAUAUACUAAAAUUGAAACAAUACAGAGAAGAUUAGCAUGGUCCCUGCACAAGGAUGACAUGCAAAUUCAUGAAGCGUUCCAUAUUUUU
ensembl:snRNA U6 U6 spliceosomal RNA